CAUGCAAGUCGAACGGCAGCACGGAGCUUGCUCUGGUGGCGAGUGGCGAACGGGUGAGUAAUAUAUCGGAACGUACCCUAGAGUGGGGGAUAACGUAGCGAAAGUUACGCUAAUACCGCAUACGAUCUAAGGAUGAAAGUGGGGGAUCGCAAGACCUCAUGCUCGUGGAGCGGCCGAUAUCUGAUUAGCUAGUUGGUAGGGUAAAAGCCUACCAAGGCAUCGAUCAGUAGCUGGUCUGAGAGGACGACCAGCCACACUGGAACUGAGACACGGUCCAGACUCCUACGGGAGGCAGCAGUGGGGAAUUUUGGACAAUGGGCGAAAGCCUGAUCCAGCAAUGCCGCGUGAGUGAAGAAGGCCUUCGGGUUGUAAAGCUCUUUUGUCAGGGAAGAAACGGUGAGAGCUAAUAUCUUUUGCUAAUGACGGUACCUGAAGAAUAAGCACCGGCUAACUACGUGCCAGCAGCCGCGGUAAUACGUAGGGUGCAAGCGUUAAUCGGAAUUACUGGGCGUAAAGCGUGCGCAGGCGGUUUUGUAAGUCUGAUGUGAAAUCCCCGGGCUCAACCUGGGAAUUGCAUUGGAGACUGCAAGGCUAGAAUCUGGCAGAGGGGGGUAGAAUUCCACGUGUAGCAGUGAAAUGCGUAGAUAUGUGGAGGAACACCGAUGGCGAAGGCAGCCCCCUGGGUCAAGAUUGACGCUCAUGCACGAAAGCGUGGGGAGCAAACAGGAUUAGAUACCCUGGUAGUCCACGCCCUAAACGAUGUCUACUAGUUGUCGGGUCUUAAUUGACUUGGUAACGCAGCUAACGCGUGAAGUAGACCGCCUGGGGAGUACGGUCGCAAGAUUAAAACUCAAAGGAAUUGACGGGGACCCGCACAAGCGGUGGAUGAUGUGGAUUAAUUCGAUGCAACGCGAAAAACCUUACCUACCCUUGACAUGGCUGGAAUCCUUGAGAGAUNNNGGAGUGCUCGAAAGAGANCCAGUACACAGGUGCUGCAUGGCUGUCGUCAGCUCGUGUCGUGAGAUGUUGGGUUAAGUCCCGCAACGAGCGCAACCCUUGUCAUUAGUUGCUACGAAAGGGCACUCUAAUGAGACUGCCGGUGACAAACCGGAGGAAGGUGGGGAUGACGUCAAGUCCUCAUGGCCCUUAUGGGUAGGGCUUCACACGUCAUACAAUGGUACAUACAGAGCGCCGCCAACCCGCGAGGGGGAGCUAAUCGCAGAAAGUGUAUCGUAGUCCGGAUUGUAGUCUGCAACUCGACUGCAUGAAGUUGGAAUCGCUAGUAAUCGCGGAUCAGCAUGUCGCGGUGAAUACGUUCCCGGGUCUUGUACACACCGCCCGUCACACCAUGGGAGCGGGUUUUACCAGAAGUAGGUAGCUUAACCGUAAGGAGGGCGCUA
rnacentral:rRNA from 1 species